rnacentral:rRNA from 1 species
AUCGUUCGGAAAGGCUCCUUCGGGAGGUACUCGAGCGGGAACGGGUGAGUAACACGUGGACAACAACCCUUCACAUCGGGAUACCCCGGGGAAACUCGGAUCAAUACCGGGAUAAUGCGCGACGCUGUUGGGCGUCGCACCAAAGGUAGCUUCGGCCUCUGGUGAAGGACGGGUCCGCGGCCCAUUAGCUUGUUGGUGGGGUCAAUGGCCUACCAAGGCAACGAUGGGUAGCUGGUCUGAGAGGAUGAUCAGCCACACUGGGACUGAGAUACGGCCCAGAUUCCUACGGGAGGCAGCAGUGGGGAAUAUUGCGCAAUGGGCGGAAGGCCUGACGCAGAAACGCCGGAG